GGUUUUUAGAUUAUACUUUAAAAUUUGGCCUGCCCAAUGAUAUUUAAAUGGCCGUGGUAUUUUGACCGUGCUAAGGUAGCAUAAUCAUUAGUUUCUUAAUUAGAAUCUGGAAUGAAGGGUUUGAUAAGAAAAAGACUGUCUCUAUUUAAUUUUAUUAAAAAUUUAUUUUUAAGUAAAAAAGCUUAAAUAUUAUUAAAAGACGAGAAGACCCUUUAGAGUUUUAUUAUAGAUUUAGGUAUUAAUUAAAGAAUAAAAUUAAUUAAUUAUUUUUAUAAUUUAAUUGGGAUGAUUAAAAAAUUAAAAAAACUUUUUUUAAAUUAACCAAUAAUUUUUGAAAAAUUGAUCCAAUAUUUUUGAUUAUAAGAUAAAAUUACCUUAGGGAUAACAGCGUAAUUUUUUUAAAAAGUUCAUAUUUAUAGAAAAGAUUGCGACCUCGAUGUUGGAUUAAAGUUUAAUUUUGGUGCAGAAGCUAAAAUAUUAAGUCUGUUCGACUUUUAAAAUUUUACA
rnacentral:rRNA from 1 species